rnacentral:lncRNA from 1 species
AUCAGUACAACGUUCUGUUUGAACACUGAAAAUGCCAUCUCUAAGCAUUUAAUCAUGAAUGUGUGGUCAUUUCAGACAACGGCAAGCUGGUGGGAGGGAGGCUACUUUUCCAGAUGACUGGAGUGAAACUUGGCACUGCUCCUUGCUGCAACUGGCUUUAACAGCGCAAACAUUUCUUCCCAACUGGUACAGACUGACUCUUCUCACAUAUCAGAGCAGACUAGGAAAAUCACCGUGUGUGAACAAGAACUUGGAAAAGAGCAGAGCCCAAAGACUCCACCCCUGCCACACUCGCUGCAUACAGCUAACCAGCAGGCCGGUGUGUGUUCAAGACCUACGCUUAGACGUGGCAAAAAGUGUCCGCUGCUGCAAGGCUGCCCAGCUGGAGGCGAGCUCUGACCCAACACCGACCACCCUCCGGUCCCCUCUCUGCCUUAGAAGACUUUCACCAGGCCCCUGAAGUCACUACAGUGCUGUUUCGCAUUGACAUUUUCCAGGCAGCUACCUCCCUGACGUCCAUGCCCGCGAGCUGUCUGCUGGGUCUGCGCUGCACACA